rnacentral:tRNA from 1 species
UCGCAGGUCGUGGAAUAGCGGUUCAACGACUGGCUCUAACCCAGUACAUGUGGGUUCGAAUCCCACUUCGUGAA